UUGUUUGUUUUGACUGAGAAAUUUCCUUGCGUCCCAAAAACGCACAUUGUUUGACACUGUGCGUCCUGUGGGAAAAUUAUGCGUCUCGGACGCGGGACGCAGAGGCAACGAGAUGGCGGAAUUAAUAAUUAAUACCUUCAACUUCACAAUAAUAAUAAUAAAUAAUUAAAUCAACCAUGAUUUUAAACUAUGUAUUAUCAAUAUUCAUUAUUCCAAACAUUAGAAAGCAUUCAGCAAACAUAACUGGAAUCAAGCAGAAGGACUCCAAAUCCCAACGGCCAAACCCGGAAGUGAACUGCCGACAUUAUUGACUCCAGCUGUAACGCAAAUUACUCGGUUCAAACAAACAUUCUAGUGCGACCGCACAAAAGUGACGACUGUGCAAAAAUAACUAAUAACUAAAUAAAAGACACCACUGUUACAGAAAGGCUUUACACACUAUUUAAACUGCCGAUCGCGAACGCAACAAACCGUGAUUGAAACUAACUGUGAUGCCGCUCUUUAUACAGUAUGUAACCAGGUGAACAUUACUUAGAUGCUUGUAGUGAAGGCUUCCUUGUUUAACAAAUGUAGCAUUGUCACUUUAAGAGCCACACUAGAUCAAUACACGCGGGAACAUAUGCAGCGUGUGAGAAUCAGACCAGAAAGGGUGACAUGCACGUAAAGGAGGGUAGUCGCUGAACUGUGCCCACUGCUUGUCCCAACUUGAUACACCCAUGAUCGUCCUCGUAACCCUGGCGAUAUUCAGAGCACAAUAUCUGGAGUGGUUUGGUUUGGAGUUUGAAAUCUACCACUAGUGAGUCGUGUGAACAGCUGUACAGCAGGGGAGAUCAUUUGUGUUUGUCCACGUGCUUUGUACACACCCAACACACCGGAACAUAUCGAGUAAGUGUGGAUGCAUCUCAAAACAUUGGGUUGUAAUGAUUAUUUGUUCUGCACUAAGAAUUAUUGUGGCUUGGAAAUAAUGUAUUUUUAUUUCUGUUUCCCUAUUAAGCAAGCCACUGCUGUUGUCUAUUGGGGCGUAAUUGUCUGUAAUCUGAAAAAUUAUGUUCUUUGAUCUCUUAGAUCCCUUUUCGAACUCUUUUAAAAUUCAGUUAACAUCUCAGUCUUUCAUCUUAAUGCUGAACAAUUUUUAAUUGUUCAGUCGGGAAUAAAGCCCACCUAAAAAGAAUUUGUGUCCAGUCCAGUCUUUCCAAAGACCCGGCUACAUAUACGUUGCGCUAACUGUUAUCUGUCAGUGGCAGACCCGCCCCUCUUAAAGCGCCGGAGUUAGUCCAUCAAUAUAGGUUUCCUUCAAUGGAAUUUAUUAGAUUCCUUCGUGAUUAUUGCGGUCCUUAUACAAGGGAUUCAAGGCUCUAAUCCCUCAUUAUGUCCGAGAACCGGCAAUCCAAGUCCAAGGCCAAGGACUUGACUCCCAAGGCCAAGGACC